rnacentral:rRNA from 1 species
GACGAACGCUGGCGGCGUGCUUAACACAUGCAAGUCGAACGAAGUGGCGAACGGGUGAGUAACGCGUAAUCAACCUCCCCUUCAGAGGGGUACAAUAGUGGAAAACGACUGCUAAUACGGCAAACCGAAGGGGGAGAAGGUGUCUGAUUAGCUAGUUGGAGGGGAAACGGCCCACCAAGGCGAAGAUCAGGAGGCCGGCUGAGAGGAGUGACGGGCCACAUGGGAAUGGGACACGGCCCAGAACUCUACGGGAGGCAGGCGUUGGGAAACUUUCGGCAUGGACGGAAGUCUUGAGGGGCAACGCCGGGUGAGUGAUGACGGCCUUCCGGUUGGAAAGCUCCUUUAAUCAGGACGCGGUACCGGCACAGAAAGCCACGGCUAACUACGUGCCAGCAGCCGCGGUAAUAC